GUCUAAGUACAUACCUUAAAAAGGUGAAACCGUGAAUGGCUCAUUAAUUCAGCUAUGGUUCCUUAGAUCGUAAACGCUACAUGGAUAACUGUAGUAAUUCUAGAGCUAAUACUUGCCUUGAAUCCCUGACCCUCAAGGGGACGGGUGCAUUUAUUAGAACAGAAUCAACCGGGUGCGACUUCGGCUGUGCCUGUUACAUUCUGUGUUGACUCUGAAUAACUUUACUGAGCGCAGUUGGCCUUGUGUCGGCGACGGAUCUUUCAAAUAUCGGGGAG
rnacentral:ncRNA from 1 species